rnacentral:rRNA from 1 species
AGAGUUUGAUCCUGGCUCAGGACGAACGCUGGCGGCGUGCCUAAUACAUGCAAGUCGAGCGAGCUUGCCUAGAUGAUUUUAGUGCUUGCACUAAAUGAAACUAGAUACAAGCGAGCGGCGGACGGGUGAGUAACACGUGGGUAACCUGCCCAAGAGACUGGGAUAACACCUGGAAACAGAUGCUAAUACCGGAUAACAACACUAGACGCAUGUCUAGAGUUUGAAAGAUGGUUCUGCUAUCACUCUUGGAUGGACCUGCGGUGCAUUAGCUAGUUGGUAAGGUAACGGCUUACCAAGGCAAUGAUGCAUAGCCGAGUUGAGAGACUGAUCGGCCACAUUGGGACUGAGACACGGCCCAAACUCCUACGGGAGGCAGCAGUAGGGAAUCUUCCACAAUGGACGAAAGUCUGAUGGAGCAACGCCGCGUGAGUGAAGAAGGGUUUCGGCUCGUAAAGCUCUGUUGGUAGUGAAGAAAGAUAGAGGUAGUAACUGGCCUUUAUUUGACGGUAAUUACUUAGAAAGUCACGGCUAACUACGUGCCAGCAGCCGCGGUAAUACGUAGGUGGCAAAGCGUUGUCCGGAUUUAUUGGGCGUAAAGCGAGUGCAGGCGGUUCAAUAAGUCUGAUGUGAAAGCCUUC